UUUGGAGGAAAGGUAGGGGAUCGCAAGACCUUGCGCUUUUGGAGCGGCCGAUGUCUGAUUAGCUAGUUGGUGAGGUAAAGGCUUACCAAGGCUUCGAUCAGUAGCUGGUCUGAGAGGACGACCAGCCACACUGGGACUGAGACACGGCCCAGACUCCUACGGGAGGCAGCAGUGGGGAAUUUUGGACAAUGGGGGAAACCCUGAUCCAGCCAUGCCGCGUGAGUGAAGAAGGCCUUCGGGUUGUAAAGCUCUUUCAGCCGGAACGAAAAGGUUACGGUUAAUACCCGUGACUAAUGACGGUACCGGAAGAAGAAGCACCGGCUAACUACGUGCCAGCAGCCGCGGUAAUACGUAGGGUGCGAGCGUUAAUCGGAAUUACUGGGCGUAAAGCGUGCGCAGGCGGUUUUGUAUGUCGAGUUUGUAGUCCACCCCCGAAGAAAAUGU
rnacentral:rRNA from 1 species